rnacentral:rRNA from 1 species
AUGAAAGUGAAUGUUGAUGCAGCCACUAGACGGGGAUCGAGGUUUGGUACGGUUGCUGCAGUUUGUAGAAACCGAGCAGGAGAUUACAUGGGAGCAUCAGCAAUAGUGUUCAAGGGUAUAUCUGACCCAACUACUCUAGAAGCGUUGGCAGUCCGGGAAGCAAUGACACUCGCACAAGAUCUUCACAUGCAGGCGAUUCAUGUCGCAACUGAUUGUAAAGGUAUUGUAAACGACAUCAGUCAGAAGAGUAGUCCGAGCUAUGGUGCUAUUAUUCAUGAGAUCAUAGAUUACGCUCGUAGUUUUCAGUCAUGCAAUUUUGUGCAUGAAUUUAGAAGCUCAAAUUUCGAGGCUCACAAUCUAGCGAAGCAUGCUUUGAAACUGGGGGUAGGCCGCCAUGUUUGA